rfam:Rhizoctonia solani isolate BBA 69670 genome assembly, contig: RSOLAG22IIIB_scaffold01733
GACAGUUUAGCAAAGUGGUUACUGCGAUUGAUUCGAACUUCAUUUCGAAUUUAUCAAUUCCUCUCUGAGGGCACAGGUUCGAAUCCUGUAACUGUCG